rnacentral:snRNA from 1 species
GUGCUCGCUUCGGCAGCACACAUACUAAAAUUGGAAUGAUACAGAGAAGAUGAGCGUGGCCCCUGCGCAAGGAUGACCCGCAAAUUUGUGAAGUGUUCCAUAUUUUU